rnacentral:ncRNA from 2 species
AUCUCAUCAAGAACGGCUGAGGGAACAGGCCCGAUGACGCCGUAGCAACCGGGCAUCUCCUGCCGGCAGGGAGGUGCCGUCCGGUGCUAAAUCCUGCCCGGAACGCAGACCGGGAGCGAUGAGGG